CGCAGCAGUGGGGAAUAUUGGGCAAUGGAGGAAACUCUGACCCAGCGACGCCGCGUGCGGGAUGAAGGCCUUCGGGUUGUAAACCGCUUUCAGUAGGGAAGAAGCGAAAGUGACGGUACCUACAAAAGAAGCACCGGCUAACUAUGUGCCAGCAGCCGCGGUAAUACAUAGGGUGCAAGCGUUGUCCGGAAUUAUUGGGCGUAAAGAGCUCGUAGGUCGUUUGUUACGUCGGAUGUGAAAACCUGAGGCUCAACCUCAGGCCUGCAUUCGAUACGGGCAAACUAGAGUUUGGUAGGGGAGACUGGAAUUCCUGGUGUAGCGGUGGAAUGCGCAGAUAUCAGGAGGAACACCAAUGGCGAAGGCAGGUCUCUGGGCCAAUACUGACACUGAGGAGCGAAAGUCUGGGGAGCGAACAGGAUUAGAUACC
rnacentral:rRNA from 1 species